rnacentral:rRNA from 1 species
AUUGAACGCUGGCGGCAUGCUUAAGACAUGCAAGUCGAACGGCAGCACGGGGAGCUUGCUCCCUGGUGGCGAGUGGCGGACGGGUGAGUAAUACGUAGGAAUCUGCCCAGCAGUUGGGGAUAACCCGGAGAAAUCCGGGCUAAUACCGAAUACGCACUACGGUGCAAAGAGGGGGACCUUCGGGCCUCUCGCUGUUGGAUGAGCCUACGCCGGAUUAGCUAGUUGGUGGGGUAAAGGCCUACCAAGGCGACGAUCCGUAGCUGGUCUGAGAGGACGAUCAGCCACACUGGGACUGAGACACGGCCCAG